rfam:Picea glauca, whole genome shotgun sequence.
ACAUGCCUACAACAUAGUGUUAAUGCACCGGAGCCCAUUAGAAAUCCACAGCUAAGUGCACUCGGGCCAGAGUAGUACUGGGAUGGGCAACCACCCGGUAAGUCCUAGUAUUUUACAUGCC